rnacentral:rRNA from 1 species
GACGGAGGAUGCAAGUGUUAUCCGGAAUCACUGGGCGUAAAGCGUCUGUAGGUGGUUUAAAAAGUCUGCUGUUAAAAAUUGAAGCUUAACUUCAAAGAUGCCGUAGAAACUUUUAAACUAGAGUAUGAUAGGGGUAGAGGGAAUUUCCAGUGGAGCGGUGAAAUGUGUAGAUAUUGGAAAGACCACCAAUGGCGAAGGCACUCUACUGGGCCAUGACUGACACUAAGAGACGAAAGCUAGGGGAGCAAGUGGG